rfam:Cylindrobasidium torrendii FP15055 ss-10 unplaced genomic scaffold CYLTOscaffold_18, whole genome shotgun sequence.
GGCAACUUGGCCGAGCGGUCUAAGGCGCCAGAAUCAGGAUCUGGUCCUCCGGGGCGUGAGUUCGAAUCUCACAGUUGUCA